rnacentral:rRNA from 1 species
GAUGAACGCUGGCGGCGUGCCUAAUACAUGCAAGUCGAGCGAACAGACGAGGAGCUUGCUCCUCUGACGUUAGCGGCGGACGGGUGAGUAACACGUGGAUAACCUACCUAUAAGACGGGGAUAACUUCGGGAAACCGGAGCUAAUACCGGAGAAUAUAUUGAACCGCAGGGUGCAAUAGUGAAAGACGGUUUUGCUGUCACUUAUAGAUGGAUCCGCGCCGCAUUAGCUAGUUGGUAAGGUAACGGCUUACCAAGGCGACGAUGCGUAGCCGACCUGAGAGGGUGAUCGGCCACACUGGAACUGAGACACGGUCCAGACUCCUACGGGAGGCAGCAGUAGGGAAUCUUCCGCAAUGGGCGCAAGCCUGACGGAGCCACGCCGCGUGAGUGAUGAAGGUCUUCGGAUCGUAAAACUCUGUUAUUAGGGAAGAACAAAUGUGUAAGUAACUAUGCACGUCUUGACGGUACCUAAUCAGAAAGCCACGGCUAACUACGUG